rnacentral:rRNA from 1 species
GCGCAGCAGGCGCGAAACCUCCGCAAUGCGGGAAACCGCGACGGGGGACCCGAGUGCCGUGGCAACGCCACGGCUUUUCCGGAGUGUAAAAAGACUCCGGGAAUAAGGGCUGGGCAAGGCCGGUGGCAGCCGCCGCGGUAAUACCGGCGGCCCGAGUGGUGGCCGCUAUUAUUGGGCCUAAAGCGUCCGUAGCCGGGCCCGUAAGUCCCUGGCGAAAUCCCACGGCUCAACCGUGGGGCUUGCUGGGGAUACUGCGGGUCUUGGGACCGGGAGAGGCGGGGGGUACCCC